rnacentral:misc_RNA from 1 species
GGAAGUAAAAGUCAACAAGGUUUCCGUAGGUGAACCUGCGGAAGGAUCAUUCAUAAUAAGUGUUUUACUGCACUUUUUAAAAAUAGUACUCACCUUGUGUGCAAUGUUGUGUUUCUUUUCGGAGAAACACCUACACCAACCUAUAACCUUGAACCACUUUGUCUGAAAAACUAUUAUGAAUACUUAAUUCAAAAUACAACUUUCAACAACGGAUCUCUUGGCUCUC